GUGGUGUGUUAAACCUGUAGUACUGUGGUGUGUUAGGUAGUACUGUGGUGUGUUAAACCUGUAGUACUGUGGUGUGUUAGGUAGUACUGUGGUGUGUUAAACCUGUAGUACUGUGGUGUGUUAAACCUGUAGUACUGUGGUGUGUUAAACCUGUAGUACUGUGGUGUGUUAGGUGGUGUGUUAGGUAGUACUGUGGUGUGUUAGGUAGUACUGUGGUGUGUUAGGUAGUACUGUGGUGUGUUAAACCUGUAGUACUGUGGUGUGUUAAACCUGUAGUACUGUGGUGUGUUAGGUAGUUCUGUGGUGUGUUAGGUAGUACUGUGGUGUGUUAGGUAGUACUGUGGUGUGUUAAACCUGUAGUACUGUGGUGUGUUAAACCUGUAGUACUGUGGUGUGUUAGGUAGUACUGUGGUGUGUUAGGUAGUACUGUGGUGUGUUAGGUAGUACUGUGGUGUGUUAGGUA
ensembl:lncRNA